GCCGGAGUAGCUCAGCCGGUUAGAGCACUGGAAUCAUAAUCCAGGUGUCGGGGGUUCAAGUCCCUCCUCCGGUA
rnacentral:tRNA from 1 species